CUUCCCUUUUUAUUUAUUUAGCCUCUUUAGCAGAAAGGACUGAGAACACUGUUUACCUAGAAAUGACAGAUACUCUGGUGAAAGACAAGUUAUGCUUCAGGGGUCACUGAAUAUUGGAACUGGAAGGAACCAAUGAUUACUUGUCCAGCUCUCUCAGUUUGGAAAGAGAAUACUGAGAACCAGUAGGUUGACUGACUUCCUUAAGGUCAGAGGAUUAAUGGAACAAAAGACCAUCUCUGAUUCAUUGACUGUUUUGUUUCAAGAUACAGGAUUCAGGCAUGAUUGGGGUCUUGAAUACAUCCCUUCCUGUGUAGAUGCCUGGAGUACAGUGACAUUACCCUCAUGAAGCGUUGAGGAAGGAAGUCACCAAGCAGAGCCUGCCUAUCCUUAUGAAACAAGCCAUGUUGUCUCAUGGCACUACCUUCAUCAAAAUCUAGAGAGAAAAUGAGGCAUUCGCUUUGCCUGCCAGCUGGAAAACAUUGCAAUGCAAUGUAUCACCCUUGUGAAAUUAAGAAAAAUGUUUUAUGCCACUAUUAUCAGUGAUGGGCUAAAGCAAAUUUCAGGUGGCUUAAUGCAGAACACUGAUGGUCACUCUUAUUUAUUAAUUUUUCAUUUUAAAAGAAUUUGGACAUUAAAACAAGGGAAGAACAGAGAGGUAAGCACAACGAAGAGAACCAGUGCCAAUUCACUUAUGUGUAUUAUCUGAAGUGAGGAUCCUCCUAAAGCUGGGUUCAGUAAUCCACCUGGAAGACCGGAGAAUCUGAGGGCUAAGAAGGGCAGCCAAGUGCCUCACCCUGUUUGAGAGCUGCCUCAGUCCCUUCCAAGGGUCUCACUUUGUAGCCAGGCUGGCCUCGAACUUACAGAGAUCCUCCUGCCUCAGCUCCCAAGUGCUGGAAUUACAGGUGUGCACUACCACACCUGGCUCAUAUAUGGGGCAUGUCAAAUGGCUGAAGGAUGCACUUUCUCAAAGUCAAUAACAGAGGGACAAGGAAAGAAAAGGAUGAUUAUGUAAGAGAGAGCUUGGACAAAGACCAAGCCAAUACCAAAACAGCUGUCACUUUCCCCUGUGCUUUCACACGGAUCCAACUGUUCCACACAGCAGAAAACCAGAGUAAAAUGAAGAUAAAUGUAUAUGUUGUUUGUUCGGAUUUAACUGUCACUAUCACAGGACACACUACUCUCCUUGGGAAACUUUCUGUUUCAUUAAUCAUGCUUUCUUUUGAAAAUGUGCCUAAUUUUAAGUGAUGUAAAUUUUUACUACUUUACAAACAGGCUUUGAAUGUUUAAUCAUAUUUGAAUGAUGCUAAGAUUUCUGUAUUGAACAUGAGAAAGAUUGUUAUAAAAUGUAGUAAAAUAUUGCUUUAUGUAAAGAGAGAAAUAUUUAAUAAUUUUUAUUUUCAUUUCUGUACAUCAUGGGUCAGGUUGCCCUAAGGAGUUUCCUGAAGAACAAGUCUAUGAAAGAACUUCAUCAUAGAUUCAAUUAAAAACAUGAAAUGAAUUCAGUCUCAGAACUUUUAGUAUGCAUAGUGUUAAUUUCCUAGAAUAAGAUGAAUGACUGCUAUCGUGAAUAAUUUUGGACAAAUUCUCAUUUAUUUUUUAAUUUUAAAGAACUUAAUGAAUUUGAGACAAAACAACCUUUUUUGUUCAGAUGAAGGUAGACUACACAAAAUAAAAUUAGGAAUAUAAUUUUAAGCACAACUUUAAAAUAAGAUGUGUGUUAUGGUUUACAUCUGGAUGUCCCCUCAGAGUUUCAUGUGCUCAUAGAUGGCGCUUUGGGGAGGUGAUUGAUCAUGGGGGUGUGAUACUCAUCAGUGGAUUAGUUCAUUGAUGAUUUUAUAACUAAAUGUGGUGUCAGGAAGUAAAGCUUGGUUGGAGGAUUUGGAUUACUGAGGGCGUGACCUGGAAAGGUCUAUCUCUUUCCCUCCUUCCUUGAUCUCUUCUGGGCUUCCCUCUACCAAUGUAAUGAACAACCCUCCUCUGCCAUGCCACUCUGCCUUGGAGCCAACCGAUUAUGAACUGAAACCUCUGCAAAUUGUGAACCAAAUACAGUUGUAUUUUUCCUCCUUACAGUUGUAGGUGUUUUGUUAUUGUGUCUCAGCAAUGAGAAAGUAACCAAGACAAUAUGUAUGUUUUAAAGAUUGAUCUUUCUUUUGAUCAAAGACAGACAAGUUACAGAAUUGUCUUUAGAGAUUUGUUUGUAUAAUGCAUUUAGUUCAAAUGCCCUAUGAUGAAUGUUAUCAUUAUGUAUGCCUAAAAAUGUACAAAUAAAUGUUGUGCUAUAAAAAAAAACCAAAACAA